GAAAGAGAGAGAGAGUGCACCCGAGAGCAUGAGCGAGCCAGCUCAAGAGAGAGAGAGAAGAAUCAGGCUCUCUCCUGUCUCUUAUUAUCAAGGCGCGAAUCCCAUUAUGAGGACUAUAUUCUAAUGACCUAAUCACCUCCCAAGGUCCCACCUCCAGUGCCAUCACAUUGGGGAUAAGGGGUUAAACAUUUGAAUUUUGGGGGACAACAACAUUCAGUCCAUAGCUACUGCCAACCCCAUCUUCCCUCUUCUGCCCCCAAGGGGGGUUUACCCAGCUUCCGUCUCUAAUCCAGGAGAUUGAGAAAUGUGUAAACAGUGAAGCUUUAGUCAGGAACCUCAAACUCGUCCAGUGGAUGUGACAAUUGACCUUCACAAAUCCCGGGUUCUCUACUAAAGGACAGAAUUCCAGUGCCCCCAACUCCUCCUCCUAAAAUAGCAAGAUCUCCAGAUCUCAUCCUGACCUCCUGGACCUGUGACUCAUUUCCUCGGCCUCUGAAAAUGCUCAUACUUUCCCUCUGGAUCUGACAAACGAUGAUGCUCUUUCACUCCUGAUUCUUGACGUUCCCCUUUUGGCUACAGUUGGCUCUUCUUGUGUUCUCUUCUUCUUCCCACUCUGUAAAACAGCUCUACCAGGAGGAUUCAGUGAGAAGGUGCCAUCUUGAAGUUAGAGAGCAGCCCUCACCAGACAACCAAACCUACCAUUGCCUUGAUCUUGGACUUCACAGCCUCCAGAACUGUGAGAAAAUAAGUUUUUAUUCUUUGUAGAUUACCCAUUCUCAAGUUUUCUCACCAUGAAACAAUGAAGAUAAUAUACUUUGUUCAAUGAGAUGGCAUUUGCAUUUCUGUUCACAUUCAUGAAAAAGCCAAAUAGAGAUAAUAAUAAUUAACUGAGCACUUCUUGCUAAAACACUUAGAGUAAACUUGGAACUUUUCAAAGAAAACGAAAAGAUUUUCUUCUUCUUUAUUAUGGAUAGAAUAAGGAUCAAAUAAUAGUAACUUGUGUCAGUAUCAAGCAUAUAGUAGUUUCUUUAAAAUAUUUCCUAAGUGAGUGAGUGAGUGAAUGAAUGGAAGAAUUUCUUGGCAGUGAGGUUUGGUAAUUAUCAGACUGUUCUGCUGCUGCAAAAUUAAAUGAUCCCUUUCAUUGGCAUAAAUCAACUAAGCUUUAUUAGGUACCUUUCUAUUUUGAUAUCUUCUUAAAUAAAAAAUAUUCACUUUUUUUUGGUCUGGAAAAAGAAUAAACUUGAUCUCUCAAUGGCCCUGCCACUAUAAGAUUUGAUGCCUUCUGUGAUUUUAUAGCUCUACUAGUUGUUUGGUUUUAUAUUUUAGAGCAAAUCCCUAAGCACAUAACAAGUCAGUAAAGCAAUUUAGACCUUCACCCAGAUCAAUGCCUUGAACUUCUGAAGAUUGGAUUUUUGUUGUCCUCCCAUGUUUCAGAAUCAUAUAAAACAACAAAAUCAUUCUUGUUUGAGUGAUGUGUGCUCUUAGAAGGACCAGCUGUAUUUCCAGGUAUGAGAAUAUAUAGCCAUUCUUCAAGAGUCUACCCAUCAGCUCUCACCAGGUUCUCCAGUGCAGAUGCCUCACCCUCCCUAAAAAUGGCAAAAAAUUGAUGCGUAGAGUAGUGUAAGAUCAAGAGAUUUCUUAAACUUAGUAACGUCUAUGAAAGUUUGAUCUGAUCUUGAAUAAUCUUUUUAAAAUAGAUCUCUGAUGGAUUCUGAUGUUGAUUGUUGUUGUUAUUGUUUUUGCAACACUUAUUUGCCU
rnacentral:lncRNA from 1 species